rnacentral:hammerhead_ribozyme from 1 species
AUUCAGUUGACAAGUCGAAAAUAGGACGAAACGCGCGUCCUGGAU